rnacentral:rRNA from 1 species
GACGAACCGUCCGAACGUUAUUCGGAAUCACUGGGCUUAAAGGGUGCGUAGGCGGCGCGGAAAGUUGGGUGUGAAAUCCCUCGGCUUAACCGAGGAACGGCGCCCAAAACUACCGUGCUCGAGGGAGAUAGAGGUGAGCGGAACUUAGGGUGGAGCGGUGAAAUGCGUAGAGAUCCGGAGGAACACCGACGGCGCAGGCAGCGUCCUGGCCGCUUGCUGACACUGAGGCACGAAAGCUGGGGGAGCAAACAGG